rnacentral:lncRNA from 1 species
GCAGCACACCAAAGAUGUCAGAUGAUAAUUCCAAAGAGGUUUGCAUCUUAACUAAGCCUUUAUGUUAUUACGUAUAUUUCACAAUUGGUUAUAUGCAUAGAAAUUGAGUUAUACUAUGAUAAGAAUUUAAUGUUUUUCACGGCUCACAAGUCAUGACAGUUCUGUGCAUAGAUAUAUUCUGGAAGCUUCAGAUUUCUUAUAUGCGGCAUUUCUAUCCUAGUAUUAGUUGAUGUAAAAUGCUAAUACUGUACUUGGCCUGGCACUGCUUCAUCUCAUACAGAUACAGCUUGGGGAUGAGUAUUCAGUGUUCGACAGCGAGGAAGAAGCAGAGGAAAUCGAUGCUGGUGAUGCAGAGACUGAUGACGAUGAACUAACUGACGAAGAAAAGGAUAUUCAGGAGGUAGUGUGAAAUUAUUCUUCAUCUUUCCCCCUCCUUUUCUCUGCACAGUAAUGUCAUGACAAUAAUGUCUGGCAUGAAGAAUUAACUUAACUUGCUUCUGGGAAAACCUUACAAAAGCUGCUGCUACAAUAAUAAGAAACUACUCCCUUCGUUCCUAAAUAUAAGUCUUUUUAGAUGUUUCACUAGGGGGCUACAUACGGAUGUAUAUAGACAUAUUUUAGAGUGUAGAUUCACU